GACGAACCGUGCAAACGUUGUUCGGAAUCACUGGGCUUAAAGGGCGCGUAGGCGGGCCGGCCAGUCUGUGGUGAAAGCCCCCAGCUCAACUGGGGAAGUGCCGUGGAUACUGCCGGCCUGGAGGAGGGUAGGGGCAUCUGGAACGCUGGGUGGAGCGGUGAAAUGCGUUGAUAUCCAGCGGAACUCCGGUGGCGAAGGCGAGGUGCUGGACCCUUUCUGACGCUGAGUGCGCGAAAGCCAGGGGAGCAAACGGG
rnacentral:rRNA from 1 species